rnacentral:tRNA from 2 species
GCCAUCUUAGCUCAGGGGUAGAGCACUUCCAUGGUAAGGAAGGGGUCUCGGGUUCAAAUCCCGAAGAUGGCUCCA